rnacentral:misc_RNA from 1 species
AUUAUAUAGAAUUCAAUUGAAUUUUGCGUUUUGAGUUGUAUCAAACCAAACACGGUCAUUUAUUUCCAAAUAAAUUUUAACUACGAUUCAUUCCAAAUGAAUUCCACAUCUCUAUUUUAUUUGAACCAAAUGGGGUGUGAAUGUAAAGGUGCAGGAUGGACUUAACCUCUUCUAGUUGAUCCAAUAGAAAGUAACAUCAUGUGGCAAGAAGCAUUGUUAAAUUUUGUGUCUUCUUAUUCACUUCCUUAUGUCUUAACCUAUUUUGGCAUUGCAAAUUUAGGGUACCAUUGGAACCCUAUGCCUAGGUUGUUCUUACCUUCAUCUACGCUUGGCCAUAUCCAUAACUUCCAGCGAAGCCUUGAUUUACUGUUUUUGACCAGAAGGAUUGAGGAUUUUCAGUAAAAUAGUUGGGUUAAUUUCUUAUGAGAAUUCUAUGCAUUGAUCAAGGAAUUGCUUAGAAAGAUGGUUGUGUGGAAAAUACAAGAAUAAACCUUAACUCCUGAAACAAGAGUGCAUAGUAGGAAGGUGGAUGUGGGUGUAAGUUUUAAGGGAGGAUUAGCUCAGAUGGUUUUAUCAUGUCCAAUGUAGACAUUUGGAUGAGCUAGUGAUAUCUCACGUUGCAUGACAGUUUGUUCUAAAGCCAAAAGAACUUUACAUUGGGGUUUAUCACAAUCUAGAAAUUGGUGCGAGUUAUACUGUUGCCUAAUUAUUAUUAUUUUUUUUUGAAUAUUCUUUUAGCUUUCUUUCUGAGAGCCAAACUGCUAAAUUCAGCUAUGGAUAUUCAAGUUUUAAGGGUAAAAGGGCUUCAAUGGAGGAUUUCUAUGAGACCAGGAUAUCUGAAGUCAAUGGUCAAAUGGUUGCCUUCUUUGGUGUUUUUGAUGGUCAUGGAGGUGCCAGAACUGCUGCAUAUAUAAAAAACAACCCUUUCAGGAAGUUAAGUAUCCAUUCAUAGACUCUAAGCUUAAGGCACUGAAAGUCUCUAUCGAUCACCGGGAGUGUGAAGCAGAGCAUUGGGUCCUCAACCUUCAAAACUUGCUGUAAUUGAUCAGUUGAAGACUGAGAAGCACCUCUGGGCUGCUAGGAACGAGAGCAUUUGGAGACAAAAAUCCAGAAUCACAUGAAGCAAAUUGGGGGAUAAAAGCACUAAAUUCUUCCAUAUUCAAUGUUCGAGCAAAUGGAUGAAGAAUAGGAUUGUCAGAAUUGUUGAUAUAGGGCAUAGUUGUGCUGAUAUCUCUGCUACAAGGAGGAUUGUGGUGGAUCACUUUCGGUCGAGAUUCUUUGAGGACUUCUAAAUGUUGUGUCAAGCGUCAAACUUAAAAUACUCUACUCUCUCUCCAGCUGAGGCAUUGAGGAUUGAAGAACCUUUCUCAUAUGAUGAGGUAAAAGCAGUGGUUUGGGCCUGUGAUUCAUCUAAGGCAAUUGGACCUGAUGGCGCCAACUUUUGCUUCUACAAAAAUUCUUGGGAUCUAAUAAAGGAUGAUGUUGUUGCACUGGUUAAUGACUUCUAUUCCUCAUCAAGCCUCCCCCCAAUCAAAUUGUCAUUUCUGUCUUUGGUUCCUAAAUUUUCAGGUUCAUCGAAGGUCCAUGAUUAUAGAUCUAUCAGUUUAAUUCAUGGCCUCUACAAGAUCAUUGCAAUGCUUCUUGCUAAUAGAAUCAAAGGGCUGUUGCCAUCUGUGAUCAGUCCUCAACAAAAUGCCUUUGUUAAAGGGCGUCAAAUUCUUGACAGUUUCCUGGUUGCUAGUGAAAUAGUGGGUUACGCAAGAAGGCUAACAAAAGCUGCUUCCUAUUCAAAAUCGACUUUGAGAUCGCAUUGAUAUGGUCAGCUGGGAUCAUAUUGAAAGGGUAAUGGAGCAUAUGGGCUUUGGCAGGAAGUGGUGAUUGUGGAUAAAAUGCCUGUCUCUCCAACACUCGAUUCUCAAAUUUGAUUAAUGGGAGUCCCACUGAGGAAUACACCACGCGGAAUGGGCUGAGACAAGGUGAUCUCUUGUCUCCAUUUCUUUUUGUCGUUGCUACCGAAUCCCCAAGUUUGAUGAUUGAUAAGGCUUGCGAGCUGGGUUUGCUUCGAGGUGUGUCUGUUGGUUCUGGGGAAGUUAUCUCACAUCAAAAAUUCGCACAGGACACAUUAUUUUUCUGUCCCCCAAAUGCAGAGUUCGUUAUGACCAUCUCGAGAAUUAUGGGAUUAUUCACCCUAAUGUCUGGGCUGAAAGUUAACUUCCAUAAGAGCGCCCUCUUUGGCAUAAACGUGGAGGAAUCCUUGCUUAAGAAGGCUGCUGUUUCAGCUUGUUGCAAAACAGGGAAUUUACCCACACGCUGCAUUGGCCUCCCUUUAGGAGCAAGUACAAAGUUCUUUUUCUACCUGGUUGCCUGUAAUUCUGGAAAUAGAGGGAACGGACCUUUUGGUCACCUCAUUGGCUAUCAAAGCCUGGUCUAACCCAAGCAAAUAGAAGCCUACCAUCUCCUAGACUCCCCCACCUGUUAAUUGCUAUAAGUGGACUGUUGAUGGUUCUUCAAUGGGUAAACCAGGGGGUAGGAGCAAUUGGAGGGAUGCUUCAUGAUUCAUGUGGAGUUUUUGUUUGUCUCUUGUCUUGUCGAGCAGGGAUCGUGGAUUCAAACACUGCAGAGUUGAUGGCUAUACACAAAGCAAUAGAGCUGUGUUUCUCUUUGCCCACUAUUUGCUUUUCUGCUCUUAAAAUAUACAUUGAAUCUUAUUCAAAAUUUGCACUUUCAUGGGUUAAGCAUCCAGAAUCGGCACCCUGGCACCUCUCAUCUGUAAUCAAUUCAAUGUAUAAGAACAUUAAGGCUCUCCCACCAGUUGUUCUUCAUCAUACUCUUGGGGAAGGAAACCCUGCUGCUGAUUCUCUUGCAAAGCACGGCUUGUCUAAGCUUGAGGAUUUGGUAGCUUUCAUGUGAUUUGGGCUAAGCUAGAAAUGCUGCCUUGAACUGAUCAAUCUAAUGGUAGCAGAUGUUUGUGGCAUUUCCCCUGGGUUUAUCAGCUUUGGGUUCUUAAUUUCUCUCUUUGUUUGUUGCUUUCAUUAGUGUCGUUUGCUUCCUCACUUCUGUAGUUGUUGGUCUAUUAGCUUGGUGCUCUGUUUUAUUUGUACUUGCAGUUAUUCUCUUUUUGAAUUUGUGCAGCAGGUUGCUGCUGGGCUUGGUUUGUUGUGUUGCUUCUGUUCUGCUGUUGGCAAUGUUUUCUCUUGGUGUUUUGUAAUUCUCUUGUCAGGUUUUUUUCACUUGGCAUGUUUCUCUCUAGGUUGGUUUUCGAGGGGAGACUUAUCAGUCGGAGUUUAGUUUGAGGGUUUAGUGCUAAGCUUUUC